GCCAGCCGCUCAGAAACGCAAAGGAAUUGACGGGGCCCGCACAAGCGGUGGAGUAUGUGGUUUAAUUCGAUGCAACGCGAAGAACCUUACCUGGUCUUGACAUCCCGGAGACCUUAGGAACUAGGGGUGCUUCCAUCUGGAAGAAUCUGGAGACAGGUGCUGCAUGGCUGUCGUCAGCUCGUGUCGUGAGAUGUUGGGUUAAGUCCCGCAACGAGCGCAACCCUUGCCUUUAGUCGCCAGCAGUUCGGCUGGGCACUCUAAAGGGACUGCCGGUGUUAAACCGGAGGAAGGUGGGGAUGACGUCAAGUCCUCAUGGCCUUUAUGACCAGGGCUACACACGUACUACAAUGGCCGAUACAAAGGGCAGCGACACUGCGAGGCGAAGCCAAUCCCGUAAAAUCGGUCUCAGUCCGGAUUGGAGUCUGCAACUCGACUCCAUGAAGUUGGAAUCGCUAGUAAUCGUGGAUCAGCAUGCCACGGUGAAUACGUUCCCGGGCCUU
rnacentral:rRNA from 1 species